rnacentral:rRNA from 1 species
AUUGAACGCUGGCGGCAGGCUUAACACAUGCAAGUCGAACGAGUGGCGGACGGGUGAGUAAUGUAUGGGAAACUGCCUGGUGGCGGGGGAUAACUACUGGAAACGGUAGCUAAUACCGCAUACCAUCAGAUGGGCCCAUAUGGGAUUAGCUAGUUGGUGGGGUAAAGGCUCACCAAGGCGACGAUCCCUAGCUGGUAUGAGAGGAUGACCAGCCACACUGGAACUGAGACACGGUCCAGACUCCUACGGGAGGCAGCAGUGGGGAAUAUUGCACAAUGGGGGCAAGCCUGAUGCAGCCAUGCCGCGUGUAUGAAGAAGGCCUUCGGGUUGUAAAGUACUUUCAGCGGGGAGGCGUUACCCGCAGAAUAAGCACCGGCUAACUCCGUGCCAGCAGCCGCGGUAAUAC